rnacentral:lncRNA from 7 species
GAGUGACUACGAAUGCAAUGCCAAUUAUACCUGAGGGCUAGAAGGGAUGGGAUGCAGCGGGAAAUUUAGAUGAUCAACCAAUAUAACGCUAAUUGUACUUGAGAGAUAGGUUUUUAGUCUGGAAGCGAAUCUUAGUUAUUACUCAUAGGUUUAAGGUCUCCUUGCAUAGUCAAAAUCCACAUAUCUGAAUUGUCAUCCGCUAGCUAUUGUCUCAUUAAAGACAUUGAAUCGUCUACUUUCUCAAUAACUACUCUUUGGUCUUCACCUAGAUGAGUCUGAUGAUGAUAAUAUGGGAUUGUAUAGAUCUCCUGUUGUGGUAUUCUUCUAGAUUCAUUAGCAAUUUCAACUGGUUGAGCGAGGCUGAGGCUGCUCAUGUAGUCAUGUACGACAUUGCAGUGAAGACCGGCCACUACCCGUCUUAAGCAAACCUGACACUGAUGGGUCAGCAGAGACUGCAGCAGCGGCACAUCUAGCAGUGCUAGGGCAUACAGGUGCGAAUGAUCCGAUUAGGGACCCGACAAAAAAAAAAAAAACGGGGAAGAAACUACCCGCUUCCCCUAAAUAUGAAAAUUGAUUUUUUCCUAUGUGUAUUGGAUAGUGUGCUUGUAGUGUUUCUUAGUUGAUAAAUGUGUCGUACUAGUUUUGAAUUUAUUAAUACCUUCAUCUAAAUU